UUCGCAAUGCCCGAAAGGGUGACGAAGCGACGCCGCGUGGGUGAGGAAGGCCUUCGGGUUGUAAAGCCCUGUCAGGAGUUAAGAAAUGUAGACUCGCUAAUAUCGGGUCUAUUUGACAAAGGCUCCAAAGGAAGCCACGGCUAACUCUGUGCCAGCAGCCGCGGUAAUACAGAGGUGGCAAGCGUUGUUCGGAAUUAUUGGGCGUAAAGAGCACGUAGGUGGAUUUGUAAGUCAGACGUGAAAGCCUUCUGUUCAACGGAAGAAUUGCAUCUGAAACUACAAACCUUGAGUGUAGGAGGGGAGAAUGGAACUUCUGGUGGAGCGGUGAAAUGCGUAGAUAUCAGAAGGAACGCCGGCGGCGAAAGCGAUUCUCUGGCCUAUUACUGACAUUCAGGUGCGAAAGCUAGGGGAGCAAACGGGAUUAGAUACCCCGGUAGUCCUAGCCGUAAACGAUGGGCACUAAGUAGAGGGGUUUU
rnacentral:rRNA from 1 species